UUCUUAUCCAGAGAGGUUGAGGGAAUGGCCCGAAGACACCUCAGCAACCAGCAACGCCCGAUCAAAAGGACGUUGAAAAGGUGCUAAUUCCAGCAAGCUAUUGAUGCUUGCAGAGAUGAGAA
rnacentral:ncRNA from 2 species